ACUCCUACGGGAGGCAGCAGUGGGGAAUAUUGCACAAUGGGCGCAAGCCUGAUGCAGCCAUGCCGCGUGUAUGAAGAAGGCCUUCGGGUUGUAAAGUACUUUCAGUAGGGAGGAAGGUGGUUAAGUUAAUACCUUAAUCAUUUGACGUUACCUACAGAAGAAGCACCGGCUAACUCCGUGCCAGCAGCCGCGGUAAUAC
rnacentral:rRNA from 1 species